AUUGUAAGUCCUCUUUAACCUUUAAAUAAGAAGAUAAACAUGUUUCAUCACGCUUGAACCCACAUCAAAAAAAUAGUGUUAAUAUCAAAAUUAAUCUAUACUAUAGUUAAAACUCUGGUUGAAUUGGUGUCACGAGUUAAAAUGGGUACUAGCUCAAAUGAGGGUAGUUUUAUCUUUUUAUAUUUUAUAUAAAAUCAAUAAAAACCCAAAUAUGGUGGAAUUUGAAUAUAAGAUAUUAUUAUAAUUGUUAAAUUUUCUUUCACCCACAUAUUACGUUUAAAUUUAUUUAAGGCUUGAACUACUCACUUAAGUCUGAAGGUUCAUCCAAAAUAUUAGAAGGUUUGGACAAAAGUAUUUAAUCCCAAAAAUGAGCUUCGAUAAAAAAAAUUAAACCCAUUUAAAAUAUGAGUUAUACUCAACGUUUAAAUAUGCCGAAUGAUCAACGAAAUUCAACUUCCACUCUAAACUGAAGUUGGAAGAAUAAAAAUGAAUCCAUCAGAAUUAUAUUUCAAAUUCCAAAUUUAAUUUAAGAUCAUACGACCCCAAUAAAAUAUGAUUGCUUUGAAGGGUGAAUGUUGGUGGUAGCUAUUGUGGAUGUUCUUUCGAUGGGCCGAAGAGCCGCAAAUAAUGUUGGAGAUGGUGCAGAGGUUACAGGAGAAAACUGUGUUGAUAGAGUAGUGUCUGCGUCUUGUUAUAGGAAUAUAGGGUUUAGAAAGGUAUUUAAGCCUUAAGGGAGACAUUUUAAGUAGGAUUCUUCCCUAAUAAUACGUUAAAAUUUUGUUAAAAAAAAUUUGUAUCAUUUUUUUUUUGGUGAGUGGUCAUAUGCAGUGGUCCACUUUAUCAAUCAUCCAAUAAGAUGUUUUCACCCUAUUGAAGUAUGGUCCACUUUGUCAAGCAUCCCAUAAAAUGUUUUCACUCUAUUGAAUCUACUAUCUCUUUAAGUUACCUCUUCAAGUAUUAGAAAUUUUUUUUAAGGGAGAUAAAACCCUUAUCAAGAAUAAUAUCGACAUGUUCAAAGGUUCGUCUAUCUCCCAACAGAGAAAGCUUUAUAGACUCCUUUUUGGACCUCCAGUCAACAAAGAAAUGACACAUGAUUUUUAUAUAUGAUUUUGUAUCUGCAUUAUGAAGGAAUGCAAGUCUUUAAGACUCCAAGAAAAAUGAUCAAAUCGCAACUUUUCUUAAUUUAUUGAUUUAAACAUAUCACUUAGAAUUGAGUUAAUAAUUGUGUAGCCAAGAAUUAUUUGUAGUAAUGGUUAGAAUUUUUGUUAGACACUCAGAUGAUACGGAUUCAAAUUUUGCCAUAAAUUUUUUAAUAUUACAUUUAUCAAUAAAAAAUACCAAUUUUAAAGAAAAUUUAAGGUUUUAGGUUAAUUUUUUCAAAAAUUAGGGAAAUAUUUUUUGGAGAGAAAUAAAAAUGCAUUUUACAAGCACAUAAUUUUCACCAUCUCUUUUGCCACGUCAGCUAAAAAUACUCCCUAUAGGAGAUGUUUUUGCAAAUAUUAUAUACAUAAAUGUAUGAUUAAGUAGAAGAGAUACAUUUCAAAACAAAAGGAAAACAAGUCCAACCCCGACCAAUACGAACACCAAAGCCUUUUUGGAGAUCAUAAGUAUGUAUGAUAUUACUUACUCAAGGGUUAAAAGACAAGAGUGUUUUCGAGUUUGCCUUACAUGAAAUUAAGGUUCUUGCACAAUGAGUGAAAAUUUGGCGAAUAUGCCUCACUUUCACUCUCUCUCCUACCACGUCAGUUAAAAUCGCUCCUUGGAGGAGGCAAUUUUAUCCCCUCUCUCUAAAAACAGUCUAUUUCCCUAUUUUAUGAAAAAAUUUGACCUAAAACCCUAAAUAUUCUUUUAAAUCAACAUAUAUUCCCCAUUAACUCAAAAAUAAUUAAGUUAUAUUUUUUGAAAAAAAAUUAAUGAUUUAAUUUGUUAUAGUUAAAUAUAUAUGAUUUAUAUUUGGUGCAAUAUAUAAAAUAUAAAUGAAAUAAUAUUAUUUUAUGAAAAUAUAUUUUAAAGUAGACCAACUCGAGGAUUGGCUUACUGAUUGUAUUUUGGUUUGAAUUUUGUGAAAUAUAAGACAAUUGGUAAGUUGAAGAAUUGAGGGAACUUCGGUAAGCGUGUUUUUCCGGGGGAAGGACAUAGCUCACACUUCCUACAAUUUUAUAAAAUAUUAAAUUAAUUUGUUUUCUCUCCCUAUAUUAUUAAAUUGUUAUGGCAUAAAAUAAAAAUGAAAUAAAUAAUUGCAACCUAUAUGGAAUACCCAAUUAAUGAUAUAUUGAUAUUAAAAAUGUUUCAAUAUUUAAUAUUUUGAUUUAAAAAGUAAUAUAAAGUUGUAAUAAAAAAUAUUAAAACAAUUUAAAUAGAGUACAUCAAAUCAUAUAUAUAAUAUAUUUUAACGAGCACAAUUACAUAGAAGGCAUCGACACGUAAAAAAAAAGGAUUUGUUUUUUAUUAUUAAUUCAAUCUAUGAAAGAGGUAGUUGACUUUAAAAAUAAUUGGAAAAUAGUAAUUAUAAGCAUAUGCUACAAAAUUAACUUUUUGGGCUGCAAGAUAAUAAAAAAGUUGUUGAUCUAUUUAAAGCAGUUGGAUAAAGAUUUAAAAAUUAGAGGACCAAUAAUGAAAUAAAGAGAAAGCAAAAGACCUUAACGGGGAAACGAAAAAAACAGAGGGUUAAAAGUGAAAUGAAUUUUUUUUAUAUAUAUAUUUUGAUAUCUAAACUUUUCUUAAUUUUAAUUUCAGGCUUUUUUUAUUGUAGAUAAUUGUGAUGAGAAUAAGAAUAAUUUGUGUAUUAAAGUGGAAAAAGUUAAAUAGUAAAGAUGAAUAAAUUGGUCUUAAAUGUCAAAAUGAAGAAAUCAUACAUUUUGAAAUUUAUUAGAUUGAGAAUAUUCUUAACCAAACCACAGGAAAUGGAAUAAGUCAAAAUGUAACAUUAUUUUUCAUCGACUGAAUUUUGAGUUGAGCAAGGACGUUUCUUUUUAAAUAUCUCCCUCUCUCCAACUGAACACUUCAUUGAAAAGAAAAUUGUAGAAAAAUAGAAGAGCAUGGAUAGAGAGCAAGAAGAGAUGCAAUUUGUAGGGUUCUUUGGCAUAUUCAAACAAUCCUACAAAAUCAUAUCAUCAUCGAGAGAACUCUUCGCCAAGAUCACUUUAGCUUUAAUCCUUCCUCUAUCCUUCAUCUACCUUGUUCAUUUAGAAGUUUCAAGUCUAUUCUCAAGGAAUAUUAUCCUCAACAAAUUAGAACUGAAUCAUUCACCACCCGGCACUGCAAAAUUCGAGAAACUAUCUCAUCUUAUCUCCCAUGAAACAGUUUACCUUUGGCUUUUCAACGCAGCCUACUUCACGUUGACUUUCAUCCUUUCCCUUCUUUCACUUGCUGCAGUUGUUUAUACCACCGCCUGCAUAUAUACAGCUCGGGAGCUCUCCUUCAACCAAGUCAUAAGCGUUGUUCCCAAAGUUUGGAAGCGGCUGCUCUUCACGUUCCUGUGUAUUUUCGUUGUCACGUUUGUCUAUUUCCUUGUAUUUUUCCUUGUCCUGGUUGCUUGUGGUGCAGUUUCCCUUGUCUUGAUUAGUUGCGGAAUUCCUGUGGGACUAAUAAAAAUCAUGGGUGCAGUGUUCCUCAUUUUAAUCAUUUUGUUCAAUGUGGGGUACUUCUUGUAUUUGAUCACGAUCUGGAACUUGGCUUGCAUUGUCACUGUUCUAGAAGAGGUAUAUGGGUUCGCAGCCAUGGUGAAGAGCAAGAACCUGAUCAAAGGAAAGAUAUGGUUGGCGAUAUCCAUAACCUUUAUCCUCAGUCUGGCGGGGGGAUUGAACGUCAUCGCAUUCCAGAGGCUGGUUGUGGAAGGAUCCAGCAUGGCCAUGGCUAACAGGUUUGUUUAUGCAAUCAUUUGUUUAUUGUUGCUUUCCACGAUGAGUCUUUUCAGAUUAGUCAUCGAGACAGUGAUUUUCUUCGUCUGCAAAUCUUACCAUCGUGAAAACAUCGACAAAACUGUCUUGUCGGAUCACCUAGAAGUUUACCUGCAGGGAGAAUAUGCUCCUUUGAAGGCCAAGGAUGUUCAGCUUUUUCAUGUUUGAUUGACUUGAAAGUCAAUCGAUAUAAAAAUUAUGAAAUGUAUUCAACUUCAAUCUAUACAAAAAUAAUGUAAGGCUUUUUAUAGCUGAAACGGUGCUUUGUAUCUCAUCUGUGAAACUAGAUUCGGAUUUUUAACUUUAUUUUCUUUACUUAUUAUUAAUUCUAUUAUGUAGUCCUAGGUGGUACAUGUAUGUUUCGGUUGUAACUGAAUUUCUUCUCUAGCCUCAGUCCUUACAACAACACAUGUACAACGUGGUAUGAAUAUAAACUAUAAUAUUAAAUAUAUUAAUCAUUUUACACCCUCAAAAAAAUAAAUUAUUAUAAUCUAUUAUCAGUGUUUUAUUUGGUUCAGGUUCAUGCUAAGUGAGGCAUGAAUGACUUAAAACAAAACCCACAUAACUAUUAGUCUAACUCGAUCUAAAUCCAACAUGCCAUACAAGGUAUGUUCUUGGUGGAUAUUACUUGUUGAUCAUACAUGUUGCACCCGAUUAACUUCUGUUUAUGUUGUGACGGUUAGGGUGACAUUAUGUAUAUGCAGAUCACUGCAACAAAUAGGUUUUUAGGUUUUUAGCGGCUUUCCAAAAACGCUGUUAUAGACAACGCCGCUAAAUUUUACGGCGUUUAUAUAAAAAAAAUGCCGCUAAUGGUCGAUCUAUAACAGCGUUUUUUGUUGAUAAUUAAUUUCUGCUUCUAAUGUUUAACAAUGGUGGUGGAAUCAACUUCGAACUUAAAACAUGCAGAGUUUCUAUAUGCAUUCCAAGUCCGUGCAUACAGUGUUAUGAUUGUAUGGACUUAUACUGAAUCCUGGAUAACAAAAGGAAUGCUAACCUGAUGACUAAUAGUUGCAUAUAAUCAUAUUUACAACUUCGUUUUAAGUUGUUUGUAGCUUGAUCUAAACCUUGGUUCUUAAUGACAACAAAUAUUAACUCCUAUCUUUAUUUUGAGCAUUCAAAUAACAUAACAUAAUUUUUUUCUAACCUUUUGUUUCUCAGACGAACCAUGCUUGAUCCAAUAAUAGUCUUUGGACGUGAAUUCUUUGAGGACUGUUUAGUGCACCUUGUUGUUGCAUCAAUAGCUUCUUCAGAACUAGCCAUUGAGAUAGACAAUCCUCAAAAAACUGCACGAUAAGCCGAAAGCAAGUGUGGCUCCCCCACUUACCACUAAUUCCUGAAAUUUCCAUUUUGUGGAAAUGGAUGGUCAGUCCUUAUCAAACAUCAAACUAAUAACAGUUCUAGUUAGGUUGUUUUAAGUUUGUUGCAACAUAUUUUCUGUAAUUCAUAACAGCACUUCUCGUUGUGCAAUCCUGAAUGGAGGCUGUUCAGAAAGAAGAAAAGAUGGCAACAUCAUUGAAAGAAACUCAGAGACGAAAGGAAUAAUACAUUCAACAAAGAACUUCUCAAUAGUUUGGAAUUUGUUCCUUUCAUGAUUAGAAAGGUAUGGUUUUGCGAUGAUACCUGUCAAAUGUCAAAGUCUUCUGAAUGCACAUCAUUGUAGCCCCCCCCCCCCCAACCCCUUAUUUUUAGAGCCAUUAGCCAUUUAGGAAUAGUGGGUUUGGGGAAUUUCCUUGGUUUUUUUUCAAUUUUCUGUCGGUAAACGGGCAAAAUACUAAAAAAAGUCUUUUUUUUAAAUUUACCGAAAUAGACCCGGUAUUUUAUUAUUUACCGGAAUGGGUCCUUUUCCCCUAAAUCGCGUCCAUGUAAGCGCAAAGUCAGGGGAUAUGUCAGCAAAUCGCGUCCACGUCAGCGCGCUAUGCUGACGCGGCAACAAAGCGCGUCCUUGAAAGUGCGAUUUGUGUCCACAUCAUCAAAGCGCGCUGACGUGGACGCGAUUUGCUACCACGUCGCGCGCCCUUGGGGACGCGAUUUCGCCACGUUAGGAUUUUUAGGGUUUUUUAGAUUUUUAGGGUUUUGGAGAGAAAUUAAUUAAUUAAUUAAAAUUAAAUUACGUUUUGUAAUUAAAAUUUAUUAAAUUUUAGGGUUUAAGGUUUCGUAAUUAAAUUAAUUAAAAUUUAUUCAAAAUUGGAUUAUGUUUCAUGUUUAUGGGUUUUUAAGAUAAAAUCAAAGUAGGAUGAUUUAUCAGAAGAAUUUUUGCAGUCGCGCCCACUUGUACGCGCUUUUGCUACAGUAGGUCCUGGAAAAAUAAUUUCGAGUUGACGUUUUUGAGCAAAUAGUAUAAAAAACGCUUCAAGCAGGAUGCUAUAUGCGAAGAAUUUGUGAAAUCGCGCCCUCAUGGACGCGCUUUUGCUACAGUUGGUCCUGGAAGAAAUAAUUUCGAGUUUACGUUUCUGAGUAAAUAGUAUAAAAUCGCUUCUACCAUGAUGCUUUAUGAGAAGAAUUUGUGAAAUCGCGCCCACAUGGACGCGCUUUUGCUACAGUUGGUCCUGGAAGAAAUAAUUUCGAGUUUACGUUUCUGAGCAAAUAGUAUAAAAUCGCUUCUACCAUGAUGCUUUAUGAGAAGAAUUUGUGAAAUCGCGCCCACGUGGACGCGCUUUUGCUACAGUAGGUCCUGAAAAAAUUAUUUCGAGUUGAUGUUUCUGAGCAAAUAGUAUAAAAAACGCUUCAAGCAGGAUGCUAUUUGAGAAGAAUUUCUGAAAUCGCGCCCUCGUGGACGCACUUUUGCUAUAGUUAGUCCUGGAAGAAAUAAUUUCGAGUUGACGUUUCUGAGCAAAUAGUAUAAAAUCGCUUCUGCUAGGAUGCUUUAUGAGAAGAAUUUGUGAAAUCGCGCCCACGUGGACGCGCUUUUGCUACAAUAGCAUGUUUGGACUGAGGCUAUAAAUGAGGCAAAAAAUGUUCUCAGAAUGCGUAAGUCACAGCAGAAACAACUUAGAGAGGCUAAAAAGGUUAGAGUUUCAAAUAUGAGUGAACGUAUUAGUGCUGUUAUUUACUACGAUGGUGAGAUUUGCCACACUGAGAAUGGUGUUGUUCUUUUGUCGGAGAAUACGGUGCGACCGGUUUUUAACCAGAACAUAGAUUUGACAGAACUUCGUAAAAUAAUUAGGCGUAAAAUUUUCGGAACGACGCCAAUGAAAGUUAUGUCUAUCACGUAUCAAUUUUGUUCUUCUGUUGAUCCGGUGACAUAUGACUCGUUCGACAUAAAAGGUGUUCGUAGCUUGGAGGCAAUGGUGUAGACUCAUCUUGCUAGUGAAGCACCUUAUAUUGAGUUACAUGUACAAUUUACAUCGCUAAAUGAUGUACUUGCGAUCGGUGUUCGAGAUGUAUACACGACCCCUGACCGACACUCGGUUAGCGGGUUACAAAAUAUAGAACAACUCAUGUUUGGUAGCGGUGUCGAAUGCACAUCCCCUGGAAGACACCCUGUCGGUGGAUGAGACAUGUACAUCGGUGGCUCGAUGUUUGAUGCUGGAAAUACGUACUGGGGAACGGCAUCAAGUUCUAGUGGGCGGCAAUCUACAUCCAAUUGGGGACGUUAUGAAAUGCCCAUAAGAAGGGAUGAUGUACUCCCUACGAUGUCAACCGGUGAGGGGACCUCGUACGCUGCAGAUUAUUGUAGGUUAGAAGAUGACUCCGAUGUAGAUCCACCUCGAGGGUCUGGGCCCGAUGGUGCAGAAGUUGGCUUAUUUUCUGAAACGGAGCCUAUUCCAACAGAACCUAAAAAUGCUGAAAGGAGUACAGAUGAAGAAGAAAAUCCACGAUUCAGAGCAUACUCACCUCCAGCCCACAUGCAUAAUGUCGAUCUGUCUGCAGAUGAUGCGUUAGAGUUUUCAGAUCUACCACACUGGUUGUAUGAUAGUACAAGUUCGGGGGUAGAUUCGGGUGAAUUUGAAGUUGGUAAUCAGUUUACCAACAAUGAUAGUUUUAUUGGUGCUUUGAAACAACAUAGCAUCAAAAAUGGCGUUAACUACCACGUCUUUAAAUCCAAAUCUGAUAAGUUUGAGGCGAAGUGUGCGAUGCAAGACGACACAUGUUCAUGGAAAAUCUACACCUCGUUAAGGAAAAAGACAGGGUUGUGGGAGAUUAAAAAGUACAAAGGUCCACAUACAUGUGCUGCAGGUACAGUAUUGACGGUUUCUGGAUAAUACUUUUAUUAUGUAAUGUUGUAUUAUUUAAUGUACUCCGUUUAUAGGUGUUUCACAAGAUCAUACCAAGAUGGAUUUAGCUAUGUUAGCUAGCUUGAUACUACCCAUGGUAAAAGCAGAUCCCAAGACUUCAGUGCCAGUGUUAAUUGUCAAUAUUCGUAGCCAAAUGGGGUACACGCCCUCUUACCGCGAGGCUUGGAUAGCUAAGCAAAAGGCGUUGAAGAAUAUGCAUAGUGGGUGGGACGUCUCAUAUAAUGAAAUAUGGCAGUGGUGUCAGGUGCUAAAGAGAUACGUCCCAGGUGCCAUCACAGACCUUGAAAUAGAACAUGCGUACUACAACGGCCGAUUGCUACGUGGAUGCCAAGUAUUCAAACGCCUUGUUGACACCAUUUUUUUGAUGAAAACGGGGUCGACUUGGGUUUUGAAAAAUGAAUGAAAAAACGGGAGUCGCCACCAAUCCUUUUUAAUAAGGUGUGAUUGGAUCACCUUAAAAGUGGUUAUUUUUAAUAAACAAUUUGAUUUUAUUAAAACAACGAUUUUAGUCCGCGAAAUUUAGAAAAAACGGGUUCAGGAGUCGAUUACGCACGAGGAAGGAUUAGCACCCUCGUAACGCCUAAAAUUGGUACCUAAUUGAUUAGUUAAUGUCUUAAUGUUGAAAAUUGUAAACUUUGAAGAAUUUAAAAAAAAAUACGAUCCUUGUAUUGAAAUAUUGAAAUUUUUCGAAAAAGGGGGGGCAUAUUUCACAUUAAUCGAGAAAGAGAAUCAUAUACAGUAAGAUAGGACACAAUGUCUCGAAUUCCCGAUACGUAAAAAAUGCUUAUUUAAAAGAUAUUUUAUCUAUCUCAGAUUUAAAAAAAAAGAAAAUCACGACCAGUAAGUUAGGACGCGAUUUUUAAAUUUCCGAGAUCAUUUAAAACUUGAGUUUGAAAAGAUUCGUGCAUUUAGAUUUAUCAUGAAAAUUGAAACCCAGUAAGUGAGGGUACGAUCUUCUCGAAUCUAAACACGAAACGCCAUUUUUUAAAAUAAAUUUUGUUAUAUCGAGUAAAAUAAAACACAAAGUCAUAAUAAAGAAUGUGAAAACUAACUACAUUGUCGAUAUGCGAAAUAAUAAAGAACAGAUUGAUAACAUGCGAAAUAAUAAACCGUAACAUAUAAAUAAGAUGCAUAAAUACGUAUAAAUAUUAUAAAAAAAUAAAAAUAAAUAUGUAGAUAUAUAUAGAUAUAUAUAUAAGUUAUAAAAUAUAAAAAUAUGUAUAAGUAUGUGUAUAUAUAUACAAGUAAAUUAUGAAAAUAUGUACGUAUAUAUAUUAUAAAAAUAUGUAUAUAUAUAAAUUAUAAAGUUUUAAAUAUAUAUAUAUAAGGAGGUAUAUAACAAAAUCUAAAAGGGGUAUAAAUAGGUAAAUAAAAAUAAUAAUAAGGUAAGCAAUAAUAAUAAUAAUACUAUAUUAAUGAUAUAAUAUAAUAGUAGUAAUAAGACUGAAAUAGCUAAUCUAAUAAUAAAAUAGCUAAAAAAACAAAGCAGGAUCAAAUUGGAAAUAAACUAAAUCUUUAGGGAGAAAUCAAAACUGAAAAAUAAAGAAAUGGACCAAAUUGUGAUGCACGCAAAAAGUAGAAGGGCCAAUUAGGAAAUAUUCCCACAUCACUGAAACGGUGCCGUUCUAGGGGAAUACAAGUGCAUGGUCGAAGGACCAAAUCAAAACAAAAGUAAAACUACGUAGCCAAAAUCAAAAAUAAGAAGGAGAUCUUAUCGAACACGCCACAAAGGAGAGGGGACCUAUGGUGCAAAUAUCCCCCUAAGGCAAAACGCGCGGACCCUUCGGAUCGGGUCCGGUCAACGAGCGGAUCCCCCUCACCAAAACGACGCCGUUUCACUUUUAGUAUAAAUAUUUAAAAAAACUCAAAAAAAAUCAGAUUCACCAUUUUUUUAAAAAAACUGAGAGAGAACUCUCUCUCGCGCGUUCCCUUAGGCCCUGGCGCCGGUCAUCAGCCGAUCUAGGCCUCCGGCGUGCCUCCGCCUUAAAACCGCCGCAUGCGGUGGCCGACGACUCCAAAAUCGGAUUUUUUUUAUCCUUUUUUGAAGCCAGGCAUGUCUUAGGCACAAAUCUAGGGCCAAACCUCAAAAAAAAAAGAGUCCGAAGCCUGAAGAACGAUGGGAGACCGCUCGUCUUCUCCCUUCCGGUGCGGCGCAGGUAAGCUUUCUUUGCCUCCUUUUUAUUUCUUAUUUCUUAUGUAAAAGAUAAAAUAAAAAAAUAAAAUAAAACAAGUAGAAACGCAAAUCUGAAAAAAAGAAGAAGAAAAAGUCACCUUCAAAAUAUGUUUUGGUUUUUUUUAUUUAUCUUAAUGUUCAUAGCAAACCGAAAGAACAGAAAAAUCUUCUUCUUUUAUAGCAAACUCGGCUUUUUCCGAAAAGAAAAAUAAAAGAAAGAAAAAUCCCCCCUUUUUAUUACAUUAAACUUUUGCUUUUAUAGCCAAGUAUAUGUUUUUGCUACUGUUUGUUUCUGCUAUUUGUGUCUGUUGCGUGCUCCUUUCGUUUUGCAGGUGGCGCUGGAGCAGGUGGGCAAAAGGCGUGCGGCGCGGAUGGGUAGGUGUGCGGCGGCAGUGUCAGAGUUAGGUGGUGCUAGGGUUUUUUUUUUCUGAAAAUGUUUUUAGGCCUAUUUUGGGUAUUGGGUUUUGUAAUUGGGUUUGGGUAGUUUAGUUGGGGUUAAUUUUUAGUGUACUGGGCUUAUAGAUUGUUAAUUGAUUUUGGUUUGGUUUAUUUGGUAUGGGCCCGGGCAAAUUUGGGCUUCUACAGCUGCCCCUCUUUGCUCGUUGUCAUGUAACAAGAACAGAGCAAAGACCAAGAAAGGCCAAUUUUGCCCGGUCUCGCCUGUUUUGGACUUGUCCUGGUUCUUUUCUUCAAGUAGCUUCACUCCAGUCCACUAUGUCUUGUUGCUUCAAUCCACUCCACCGCAGUUCAAAGAGGUACGGCUUGUAGCUUCAAUCCACUGCUACGUUAGGGAGAUAGGAUCGGUUGUUUUAUUCUGUUCCACUGUAACCUUAGGGAGAUAAGACUUGAUGCGAUCUACUCUACUAUAACUUCAUAGAGAUAAGAUCUGUGAUUUUAAUCCACUCCACUUGCAACUUCAGAGAGAUAGAAUUAUCGGCUUCAAUCUGAUGUGAUCUAUUCUACUAUAACUUCAGAGAGAUAAGAUCCUUUAUUUUAAUCCACUCUACUGUAACUUCAGAUAGUUAGGAUUACUAGCUUCAAUCUACUCCGUUAUAAUCUCAGGGAGAUAAGAUCCCUGGCUUUAAUCUGCUCCACUGUAACAUCAGGGAGAUAAGAUCUCUGGCUUCAAUCUGCUCCACUGUAACCUCAGGGAGAUAAGAUCUGAAAUUCUUCGGUCUACUCCACUGUAACCUCAGGGAGAUAAGACCUGAUGCGAUCUACUCUACUGUAACUUUAGAAUGAUGAGAUCCUUUAUUUUAAUCCGCUCCACUGUAACUUCAGGGAGAUAGGAUAGUGUCUUGGAUCUACUCCGCUGUAAUCUCAGGGAGAUAAGAUCUCUAGCUUCAAUCUGCUCCACUAUAACCUCAGGGAGAUAAUAUCUGAAAUUUUUUGGUCUACUCCACUGUAAUCUCAGGGAGAUAAGACCUGAUGCGAUCUACUCUGCUGUAACUUCAGAGAGAUAAGAUCAUUUAUUUUAAUCCGCUCCACUGUAAUCUCAGGGAGAUAGGAUUACUAGCUUCAAUCUGCUCCGCUGUAAUCUCAGGGAGAUAAGACCUGAUAUGAUCUACUCUACUGUAACUUCAGAGAGAUAAAAUCAUUUAUUUUAAUCCGCUCCACUGUAAUCUCAGGGAGACAGGAUUACUAGCUUCAAUCUGUUCCGCUGUAAUCUCAGGGAGAUAAGACCUGAUACGAUCUACUCUACUGUAACUUCAGAGAGAUAAAAUCCUUUAUUUUAAUCCGCUCCACUGUAAUCUCAGGGAGAUAAGAUUACUAGCUUCAAUCCACUCCGCUGUAAUCUCAGGGAGAUAAGACCUGAUACGAUCUACUCUACUGUAACUUCAGAGAGAUAAGAUUCUUUAUUUUAAUCCACUCCACUGUAAUCUCAGGGAGAUAAGAUUACUAGCUUCAAUCUGCUCCGCUGUAACCUCAGGGAGAUAAGAUCUGAAAUUCUUCGGUCUAUUCCCUAGGGAACAUGACCUGUAUAAUGAACCUAAUUAUGCCUAAUGAUUAGGAUGGCAUGAUCAAAAUGAAUCAAAUGCUCCUAACUAGACAUGUGUGAAUGGUGUUUGCAUGAAUGUAGAAUUUUAUUUUUCGUGAAUGAUCUCGCUUAGGUUAUCAUUACUCGAAGUUUAUUAAGACUUUGUCAUCGAAGUGCUAUAACACCUUCCUUCUCGACUGGCAUUUUCUGAAGAAACAUUUAGUCAGACUGCCCCCACUGUAAACCUCAAAGUUAUAUCCACUGGGACGCCAAAAUUUGUACCAUCACUCUCCCAUUAUAAUCUAAGGGUAGAAAUAUGUGGCUUUUCCUCAACCUUCUCGUUUCACUAUUCGAGGAUACAUGAUGUGAAAUUCUUUGGUCCUUUAUACCAUUCUAAUGAUGUCAUACCAAAUGCUCAUAAAAAAUUUCUUCUCCGAGGAAACCUCUUCCUAUUGCCUGGUGAUCAUUGCUUGCUUGUUUAUUUAAGCUUUGUCAUUAACACGACAUCUUGUCAUUUUGUUCAAUCAAUGCAUUUGACAACAAAAUCCAAAGAGAAAGUCCAAACUUAGACUCUUCCUUCUCAAAUUUCCAACCUUUAAAUUUGGCGUGUUCUAAACAAUAGUCCUAUUUCAGGUUCCUAUAUUAUUUAGAAACUUUUUAGAGUAAUAUGCAAAACUUCCUUUGUGAAAGUUUUAUUAGUCCAUUAAUCAUUAUUCCAAUGCAACAUGCUUGCAAAAAGAGCAUAACAAUGGAUAAGAAUAAAGCUGGUUCUGAGCAUAACUCAAAAUGAAUAAAUUAUCCAAAAUAGUAAAGAAGGAUAAUAAAGAAAUUGAUUGGGAAUGCAUAUCUUGGAAAAGAAUGAAGUAUUCCAAGAACAAAAAAAUUUAAUAUAAAUAAUAUGAGAAUUGGGUGCCCCAGAUAUCGCAGCUUGAACUUCUCUGUACAAAUUUUAUGAAGACCAUUCUGAGUUUGACAUGUGUUUAGGAGAUCUACAUUGCUUUGUCGAUGCCUCAAGAUGUCGCCUACCCUUUCUUGUUGAUUCAGGUAUAACAAGAUCACCACAUGCCCCAAUCUGAUCAAAAUUUAAAUUGCUCAGAUCACCUCAUGCCCCAUUCUGAACAAAUAUUUGAGCCGCCCUUUUCGAGUUUUCAACUCAAAUCCCUUUUGGCCUAAGCGCCCUUUCCGGGUUUUCCUCUUAGCCUCUCCAUUUUUCUUUUUCAUUUAUCAUUUUUCAUUCUCAUUUUUCAUUUUUUUUGACUCAGAGUGCCCUUUGCGGGUUUUCACCUUGGUCAUUUCUCCUUCUUUAAACAAAGUAUUUCUUGACUAGAUCCGAGUUUAUAGGACUAGCAACCUCACUCAGGAUCAGUGCUCUUCUGAAAAAUGUCUUCUUUACAACGUAGGGACAUUCCUGGUUUGGUAUUCAUUUCCCCUGGAAUCCUUUUGGAGAGGAAUGAUCUUUUUCGACAUCCAACCCUCUCGUGGAAUUCUCUGAGAUGGCACUAUUCAUUAUGGGCUCGUAUCAUUUUCCUUUGGCACAUUUGACUCUGCUACAUAACUUUUAGUCUUUUUCCUUUUGAUCAGAUUGAAUUUAUUUUGCUCAACUGAAACUAGAGAACAAUGAUUUCUACUUCAAUAGGUAGAACUACUUCCGUCUUGUAAACCAGAGAAAACAAUGUUGCCCCAGUCAGAGUUCCGAUAACCGUUCGAAAAAACGAGGAAGGCAGAUGGUAAACUCACAUGCCAACCCUUGUAAGUCUCAGUCAUUGUUUACAAUUCAUUACAGUGAUGAACUGUGAUGUCUGAUUUUGAAUUGAUCACGGACCUCAGCUAUCGUGCUAUCAUUCAUGAUACCAUCUUCUCUGUAAUUCUAUAUCGGUAUAUGAUGACAUUGACGCAUGAAGUAGCCUCUACCCGUUUGACGAAGUAACUAAUGAUCUCAAAAAUGAAGUAAUGCCCAUUAGAAGUAUUCAAUAAUGGUGAUGUCCCUCCCCCAUUUCGCUCAAAAUUUGAGUCGCCCUUUUCGGGUUUUCAACUCAAAUCCACUUUUGGUCAAUGCGCCCUUUACGGGUUUUCGCCUUGACCUCUCUUUUUUCUUUUUCUCUUAUUUUUGACUUUGAUUGAUUUUUCUUUUUUCUUUUCCUUUUUUUUUACUUUUUUAUGGAAUCUGAACUCAUAAGGUUAGGCAAGUCCUUGUUAUCUCUUUCGAAGGAUCUUCUUUGAUCGGAUUUCCUUCAUAGAGCCUUCUGGGGUGAAAUUACAACAGAAAACUUUUGAUCUUCCUCUUUAAUCAGGAUAAAAUCCCACAAAACUUGAAGAGAUGGAAGCUCGACUUCAAAUGGGCAAAACUAUACUGAGUCAACGAGAGAGGCAUUUGCCCAGACGAAUAAUCGCAUCGUUCACUGCAAAUUUCUAAAAAUGUGCUGCUGUGCAGAUUUCAUUAUCAGUGAUUAAUCCGGGCAUAUCCUGGUAUGAUCAUACAAAGACAUCUUUGAACUCUAGAGGUGACUCAACAAGGUCUUGCUUCGUCUCUGCGGUCAGGUCAAUUCUAAUCUUUACCACGCUCAAAAUUUCUAAUGAUUCCUUGUGAGGUAGGAUCUGUCUAUCCUCUUAUUCUACCAUUCUCAACAAGUUCAGAGAUAAGCUACGAUCUAUGUCAUUUCCAAAGUCAUGAGAUCCUUCUAAACACAUGCCUCGCUCAAAAGGAAAAUCUGAGUCUGUAGCAGUGUCACUCAUGUCAUUGAUAUCUGGGGACUCAUAAUAAGUACCAAAGAAUAUACAAAAGAAAGUAAAAAUUUAUGAAUAAUUAUUUAUACAAUAUGAUUAUGAAUGAAUGAAUGAUGUGGAAGAAAAUCUAAAAGAAUGAAAUAAUCAGACAUAAUUAUUCAUAAAGAAUGAAAGAAUAUUGGCUCAAAAGUGAAUGCAAAGAUGUAUUUUAUUAAAAUAAUGGCGUUCAAACAUGAGCCUAUUUCACAAAAGAAUUUCUAUCACUUUUAGGCUAAAAACAACAAAAAUGUUCUGAACAUUACUCUAAAUAAGCUCUAAAGACUAUAAGGAUUUCUUCCGCAAUCCAAUCGCUUAGAACACUCCCAAAUUUAUAAGGGCGGGCAUCUAACAAGUUCCCUUUUCAAUUGUGUCCUCAUAUAUGCCAUUGGUGUGAACACUUGCCAACAUUCCUUCAUACAUCUCAUUCAUCCCGUUGUCAACAUGAUUUGGUAGAUGGCUUUUUGCACUAGAUGAAUCACCCAACUUGACAAUACCCAUGUUGAUGAAUUUUUUGACUAGCUUCUUGAAGGCAAUGCAAUUCUCUAUUGAAUGCCCCAUAAUUCCCACAUGGUAGUCACAUUGUGCGUUCAUGUCAUACUAUUUGGGAUACGGGGGUUGUAUGGGUUUUAAGUAAUGAGGAGCAACAACAUGCGCAUCAAACAAGCUUUGAUACAGCUCCUUAUAUGACAUCAAAAUUGGUGUGAAUUGGAGCUUCUCAGUACCUGGUUUCACUCCAAAUUCUUGCCUUAAAGGACUCUGAUGGUUGGUGGUCUCCGUCUUUGGCCUGCCCAUAGUGAUUGGUUUUGAGUGGCCCUUGUUAUAUCCACCUACAUUAUACCUUUUAUUCCCCUUCUUCCUUGGGGCCUUUAUAGUAUCUGGGUACUCUACCCUCAUCUUCUUUAUUUCGGCUAGAUUAGCAACAGGAUUAGCUAAAUCAUUCCUCAAAUUGGAUCCUAAGCCUGUCAGGCAAUUCACUGGUGUCGAUGUACCAGUCUGAUAAUAUUGGGAUUCGAUAGUAAAAAGUACUCCUUGUGGACGCCCAUCUGGCUGAACCUAGACACUUGUCGGAGUACAAUCUAAGGAAUAAACAAGAUCCUCAUUAUCAACCCCAAAGUAAACCACCGAGUCUUUCACUUCUUUUGACUUUCCAGCUAGCAAUCGGUUGAACUGGUUUAUCAUAGUUCUCCGUAAUUCUAGUAUCUGAUUUCUCAUUUCCUGUUGAAAUUUAGUCAAUUGCUCCUGUAUCUGAAUCUGCAUUCGCUCUAAUUUUUUCAACCUUCGUUCCAUUUCUCUAGUCUUUGCUUGGAUAUCGUAAGGGUGUUUGGUUGGUUGGUUUUCCAGGUUAGUUGAAAUAAAUUUACUCGUUUAGACUCUUUCAAUGGAUUUUAAUACAUGUAAUGCAAUGUAAAGCAAAUGCAUGAAAUGAAUGCCUAAAGAGAAGUUGAUUCUGAUUCAAUUACAUUUAGGAAAAUUUUCUAGAAAGCAAAUUCCCUUACAUAAAAUGGAUACAUGUACGGCUUCACCCUCAUAUUCCAAGAAACAACAUCGGUCUUUUUCUUUAUCCGCAUGUUUGAGGUAAUCUCGCUAAUAGAUGCCAUUGCUAGCUCCACUCUUGAUCUUGGUUGUAAUUCAUCAUCUGCCCGUCCUCAUAAGGCUCGUCCGCCUCUUUAAGGGGGUGGAACGUUGAAGGCUCUUAGACAAUUGCCUUGAAUCCUUAGGCCACGAAACAGGGUCACGAACUUUUCCAUCACCAUUCUUGUGUUUCUCGGAAUAUAUUCGGGAAGUCGUAUUAUUUUCCACUUUAUCAAGGAAUCCGUAUUCCAUGACAAGCUUUCUAAUUUAGUAAUCGAACUUGAAUCAAUAUCUCUUUCCUAAGAUGCGAAUGCAAUGUAAUGCAAUCAUAAUCAAAACACAACAAGAAGGGUUAGAACAAAACAUAAGCAAGCACGGAAAACAAAAAGUACCUAAUCAGGUAAAUACUAGGGAUUUGGAGUGGUUCUACCUAGGUUAAGUUCCUAAGUCCACUAUAUGAGGUUUGGCUCUAGAGAUAAGGUACCCGAACCAGCAGAUUCCUUAAUCCUCACCCAUUAUAGGCUCAUACAGACCGAUUUCGGUUCAGGGGAAUACAUUUCCCUAUGGCUUCACGGAGACGAAAAUCUCACGAAGACAUAGGUACGGAUGUACUCCGAAAGUGAUCCACUAUCCUACAAAGAGGUGAAAACCUCACAAAGGAGUAGCUUCUCACUCCCACUUAAAAGGGAAUAAUCGAGUGGUUAUGUAAUGCAAUAUGCAGAAAUAUAUCAAAAUUCAAAACAAUAAAGUAAUUACAAACCGAAGUAAUGAUAAUCGUAACAAAAACGGAUAAACAUACUACAAAAUGAUCGUAAAUUUAAACCAAGUUUUUGGGUGUCCUCUCGGCAUUCGAUGUGAUUCUAAUUAGGGUAGGCUUCUAAGGCUCAUUAUAUGCGGUUUGGUUCUAAAGCAAGGGUACCCGAACCAACAGAUUCCUCGAUCCUCACUUAUUAUAGGCUCAUGCAGACCGAGUUCAGUUCAGGGGAAUACAUUUCCCUAUGGCCAUGCGGAGAUGAAAAUCUCACGAAGACAUAGGUACGGAUGUAUCUUAGAAGCGAUUCACUAUCCCAUGCGGAGGUGAAAACCUCACGAAUGCAUAGCUUCUCACUCCCACUUAAAAAGGUGUGACCAACGGUCAUGCAAUGCAAUGUGUAGAAAUAUACAUCUACACUCAAAAUAAAGCAGUAAUUAUAAUUAAAAUAAUAAAGGCCGAAAUAAAGGCAAGUGAAAUGCAAUAAAAGGAUCGUGUCAAGUUUUUAAUCUUCGACAAAAGACAAAAAUAAUCAACAUAUGGCUUGACUCUCUUAUAUAUUUUUUAAAGUCCCCAGUGGAGUCGCCAAGCUGUUGACACCAUUUUUUUGAUGAAAACGGGGUCGACUUGGGUUUUGAAAAAUGAAAGAAAAAACGGAAGUCGCCACCAAUCCUUUUUAAUAAGGUGUGAUUGGAUCACCUUAAAAGUGAUUGUUUUUAAUAAACAAUUUGAUUUUAUUAAAACAAUGAUUUUGGUCCGCGAAAUUCAGAAAAAACGGGUUCGGAAGUCGGUUACGCACGAGGAAGGAUUAGCACCCUCGUAACGCCCAAAAUUGGUACCUAGUUGAUUAGUUAAUGUCUUAAUGUCGAAAAUUGUAAACUUUGAAGAAUUUUAAAAAAAUAUGAUCCUUGUAUUGAAAUAUUGAAAUUUUUCGAAAAAGGGGGGCCAUAUUUCACAUUAAUCGAGAAAGAGAAUCAUAUACAGUAAGUUAGGACACAAUGUCUCGAAUUCUUGAUACGUAAAAAAAUGCUUAUUUAAAAGAUAUUUUAUCUAUCUCAGAUUUAAAAAAAGAAGAUCACGACCAGUAAGUUAGGAUGCGAUUUUUAAAUUUUCGAGAUCAUUUAAAACUUGAGUUUGAAAAGAUUCGUGCAUUUAGAUUUAUCGUGAAAAUCGAAACCCAGUAAGUGAGGGUACGAUCUUCUCGAAUCUAAACACGAAACGCCAUUUUUUAAAACAAAUUUUGUUAUAUCGAGUAAAAUAAAACACGAAGUCAUAAUAAAGAAUGUGAAAACUAACUACAUUGUCGAUAUGCAUGGCAAUACCAUAAUGAAUACGGAAGUAUAAAAAUAAUACAGGCAAUAAUAACCAAAAUAAAAUAAACAAUAAGAACAGAUUGAUAACAUGCGAAAUAAUAAACCGUAACGUAUAAAUAAGAUGCAUAAAUACGUAUAAAUAUUAUAAAAAAAUAAAAAUAUAUAUGUAGAUAUAUAUAGAUAUAUAUAUAAGUUAUAAAAUAUAAAAAUAUGUAUAAGUAUGUGUAUAUAUAUACAAGUAAAUUAUGAAAAUAUGUACGUAUAUAUAUUAUAAAAAUAUGUAUAUAUAUAAAUUAUAAAGUUUAAAAUAUAUAUAUAAGGAGGUAUAUAACAAAAUCUAAAAGCGGUAUAAAUAGGUAAAUAAUAAUAAUAAUAAGGUAAGCAAUAAUAAUAAUAAUAAUACUAUAUUAAUGAUAUAAUAUAAUAGUAGUAAUAAGACUGAAAUAGCUAAUCUAAUAAUAAAAUAGCUAAAAAAACAAAGCAGGAUCAAAUUGGAAAUAAACUAAAUCUUUAGGGAGAAAUCAAAACUGAAAAAUAAAAAAAUGGACCAAAUUGUGAUGCGCGCGAAAAGUAGAAGGGCCAAUUAGGAAAUAUUCCCACAUCACUGAAACGGUGUCGUUCUAGGGGAAUACAAGCGCAUGGUCGAAGGACCAAAUCGAAACAGAAGCAAAAUUACGUAGCCAAAAUCAAAAAUAAAAAGGAGAUCUUAUCGAACACGCCACAAAGGAGGGGGACCUAUGGCGCAAAUAUCCCCCUAAGGCAAAACGCGCGGACCCUCCGGGUCGGGUCGGGUCAACGCGCGGAACCCCUCACCAAAACGAUGCCGUUUCACUUUUAGUAUAAAUAUUAAAAAAUCUCAAAAAAAUCAGAUUCACCAUUUUUUUAAAAAAAACUGAGAGAGAACUCUCUCUCUCGCGUUCCCUCAGGCCCUGGCGCCGGUCAUCGGCCGAUCUAGGCCUCCAGCGUGCCUCCGCCUUAGAACCGCCGCAUGCGGUGGCCGGCGACUCCAAAAUCAGAUUUUUUUAUCCUUUUUUGAAGCCAGGCAUGUCUUAGGCACAAAUCUAGGGCCAAACCUCAAAAAAAAGAGUCCGAAGCCUGAAGAACGAUGGGAGACCGCUCGUCUUCUCCCUUUCGGUGCGGCGCAGGUAAGCUUUCUUUGCCUCCUUUUUAUUUCUUAUUUCUUAUGUAAAAGAUAAAAUAAAAAAAUAAAAUAAAACAAGCAGAAACGCAAAUCUGAAAAAAAGAAGAAGAAAAAGUCACCUUCAAAAUAUGUUUUGGUUUUUUUUAUUUAUCUUAAUGUUCAUAGCAAACCGAAAGAACAGAAAAAUCUUCUUCUUUUACAGCAAACUCAGCUUUUGCCGAAAAGAAAAAUAAAAAAGAAAAAUCCCCCCAUUUUGAUUACAUUAAACUUUUGCUUUUAUAGCCAAGUAUAUGUUUUUGCUACUGUUUGUUUCUGCUAUUUGUGUCUGUUGCAUGCUCCUUUCGUCUUGCAGGUGGCGCUGGAGCAGGUGGGCAAAAGGCGUGCGGCGCGGAGAGGUAGGUGUGCAGCGGCAGUGUCAGAUUUAGGUGGUGCUAGGGUUUUUUUUUCUGAAAAUGUUUUUGGGCCUAUUUUGGGUAAUGGGUUUUGUAAUUGGGUUUGGGUAGUUUAGUUGGGGUUAAUUUUUAGUGUACUGGGCUUAUAGAUUGUUAAUUGAUUUUGGUUUGGUUUAUUUGGUAUGGGCCCGGGCAAAUUUGAGCUUCUACACGCCUAUUUUGGACCUUUAAGCAAUGCCGAGACGCAUUUCCAUACUGCAAGCCAUUGGUAGAAAUUGAUGGUACCUUUAUGUUAGGUAGGUAUACUCAUCGACUAUUGCUUGCAGUGACACAGGAUGGCGGUGGGAGAAUUCUUCCAAUUGCAUUUGCAAUAACACCGGAGGAGUCGUCUGAUGACUGGGAUUUCUUUCUCUCUAGGUUAAGGAGGCAUGUGUGCCCCCAACCUGAUAUAUGUGUUAUUUCAGAUCGGGGCACCAGUAUACUAGCUGCAUUUGAUCGAAAGGAAGCUUAUGGCAGCGCACACACCAUAGAUAUUGCCUAAGACACGUUGCUUCGAACUACUACAGGCAAUAUCCAUCUAAGAACGAACAACGACAAGUGACCAACAUGGGUAUUUAGUCUAUAUCUGUGUUAUUUUGUUUGUCAAUUUGAAUUAGUUUUAUUGGUAGAAGUGGUAUGUAAUAUUCGCUAUGAACUUAUAUUGGCAGGGUAUGAAAUAAAUAAAGAUCGUUUUCACGAGAUGUUGGUAAUUUUACGUUCAAUUAACGGAGAAGGGGCGGACUACCUCUGUAACAUAUGUUUCGAACAGUGGGCACAAGUAUACGAUGGCGGCCUACGAUAUGGCCAUAUGACGUCGAACUUGGCUGAAUGCAUAAAUUCUGUUCUUAAAGGAACGCGCCAUCUACCGAUAACAUCGGUUGUGCGAUAGACAUAUUUUCAUUUGGCGGUGCUAUUUCCAAAGCGAACAGCAAGUUAUGCAGGCCAGAUGCAGGGAGGCCAUAUAUGGUGCAGUAAGGUAGUUCAAGAAAUUAACAAGGCCAAGGCGAGAGCAAACACCAUGCACACAGUGUGUCACGAUCGAGACAAUUUAUGGUUUCGCGUGACAGAGUUUGACAGACCACACCAAGGUGUUGUUGGCGGGCAACAUUGUGUACACUUACGAAAUAGGACUUGUGGCUGUAGGAUGUUUGAUGCACUUCGUUAUCCAUGCGCUAAUGUUAUUGCAGCUUGUCAGAAUCUCCGUCUAGAUCCGAUAAGUUAUGUGGACGAAGUGUACAAAUUAGAAAACAUGUACAGCGUUUGGAGACAAGUUUUCCUACCAGUCCCAGAUGAACGUAAAUGGCCACCCGUAUCUCUUGCUCCUUUUAAGUUGUUACCGGAUAGAGAAUUGCGUCGUAAACCAAAGGGUCGACCUUGCUCGACUAGAAUACGUAAUAAUAUAGAUAUUCAAGAAAUAGCCAGUCAACACAAGUUGUGCGGAUGGUGUAGGAAUCCAGGCCAUACAAGUCGAUCAUUCCCUAAUCGGAAUAGUAGAAUUUAAUUGUAAAUAAAUUAUAUUUUUUCAAUUACUUAUUGAUAAUUGUAUUAAUUGUUAGUAAAAUUAUCAAAUUAUAUCAAAUUAUUAAUUGUUAGUACCAGUCAAAACAUUUUUUCAAAUCUAACAUUAUGUGAAUGUAAAAAUAUUAAUUGAUAAUUGUAUUAAUGGUUAGUAGAAUCAUCAAAUUAUAUUUAACUUAAGGGUUAGGGUUUUAAAGUUAAGGUUUUAGGGUUUAGGGUUUUUAAGUUUAGGGUUUAUAGUUUUUAAGUUCAAGGUUUAAGUUUGGGGUUUUUAAAUUAAAAGUUAGAGUUUUGAGGUUUAAGGUUUGAGGUUUGAGGUUUUUUAAGUUUAGGGUUUAAUGUUUUUAAGUUUAAGGUUUGGGUUUUUUAAGUUUAGAGUUUAAGGUUUUUAAGUUUAAGGUUUAGGGUUUUGAGUUUAAAGUUUAAGAUUUUUUAGGUUUAGGGUUUGGGAUUUUUUAAGUUAAGGGUUAGUGUUUUUAAUUUAAGGGUUAUGGUUUUUAAGUUAAGGGUUAAGAUUAGGGUUAGAGUUUUAAAGUUAAGGUUUUAGGGUUUAAGGUUUUUAAGUUUAAGGUUUAAAGUUUUUGUGUUUUAUGGUUUAGGGUUUAGGGUUUAAAAGUUAAAGGUUAGUGUUUUUAGGUUUAUGGUUUAUGGUUUUUAAGUUAAGGGUUAAGGUUUUUAGGUUUAGGGUUAGGGUUAGGGAUUUUUAAGUUUUAGGUUUAGGGUUUUAUGUUUUAAAGUUUAGGGUUUAUAGUUUUUAGGUUUAAAGUUUAAGGUUUUUAAGUUAAGGGUUAGCAUUUUUAAGCUAAGGGUUAGGGUUUUUAAGUUAAGGGUUAGGAUUAGUGUUAAGGUUUUAAAGUUAAAGUUUUAGUGUUUAGGAUUUUUAAGUUUAGGGUUUAAGGUUUUAAUUUUGGGGUUUGGGUUUUUUAAAUUAAGUAUUAAGGGUUUUAGGUUUAGAGUUUGGGGUUUUUAGUUAAAGGUUAGAGUUUUUAAGUUUAGGGUUAAAUGUUUUUAAGUUUAGGUUUAGAGUUUUUAGGUUUAAGGUGGGGUUUUUAGGUUUAGGGUUUGAGGUUUUUAAGUUAAAGGUUAUGGUUUUUUAAUUUAAGGGUUAGGAUUAGGGUUAAGGUUUUAAAAUUAAAGUUUUAAGGUUUGAGGUUUGGGGUUUUAAGUUAAAGGUUAGAUGUUUUAGGUUUAAGGUUUGAGGUUUUUAAGUUUAAGGUUAUGAGGUUUUUAAGUUUAGGAUUUUAAAGUUAAGGUUUUAUGGGUUAAUAUUUUUAAGUUUAGGGUUUAUGGUUUUUAAGUUUAAAAUUUAGGGUUUUAAGUUAAAGGUUAGGAUUUAGGGUUUUAAGUAAUAACUUAAAAAAAAUUCUAUUUUAUUACAUCAAAUAAUAUUAAAAUAUUCAAAAUAUUUGUACAAAUAAAUUUAAAUACAAAAAUCAAUCUCCGUGCCCGCCGGAUUUAGUGCCAUAUGGCGGCCCUCGACGGUUACGCGCUGGAUUCCUCUUUUGUCCAACUUCCAGCGGGGAUUCUGGUUCUUCCGGUAAGGCAUCUGGUUGUCGGAGUUGGGACGAUGAUCCACCUUGAAAGAAUAGUGAAUAUGGAGGUGUUUGCAUCACCAACGGCGACGGUGUUUGAAACCCAUACGGUGGCCCCUCUUGCGAUCCCUCGUGUGCCGCUUGCCUAUACAUCGGCGGUCCACUCGGCGUAACAGGAAAUGGAGCUGAACCGGGCCAUUGGCUCCAACCUGCUAUAGGACUCAAAAAAAAGAUACAUAUAAGGGUUAGGAUACAAAAAAGGGUUAGGAAACGCACCUGGCAUCAUCUGAAAAGGCGGUUCUGUGGGUAUAAUCGGUUAAACUGCUGGGUCGGGUGGCUGUGUCGGUGCUCUCGUUGGGCCUGAUGAUUGCAUGGCCGCUGAUGAUGGGCCGGGUGAAUGUCUGGGACUCGUUGAGGAGCCAGCGUCGUCGUCUCCUCGUCUUGGAUUAGAGGCCCUCGUCUUUCCCUUUAGACACGUAUUUGCCACUGCCUCUCCUCUGGCGUCAGUAAAUACGGCUUGCCAUGGAUCCUAAAUCAUGGCAUGUAUUCCGGCACGCAUGCUAACUCCGGAAUGAUAAUUGGUUCCCGAGUAGAUAUAUAUUCAUAUCGAUCUUUCCAUAUUUCCAUGUACUCGGACCAAUUUCUCGGUCAAUCCGUAUUCAAUUGCCGAAGGUUGACUUUGUGUUGAUCGUCAAACACCUCAGGUUCCACAGGAAUCAGUUGUCUACAUCCAAAUUGUCGUAGCACUUUGUCUGACUUGUGUGGCUCCACGGUCGUACAGUUGAUCAACGCGACUUUCACGUACCAAGCGUUUCGAUUUUGUAAGAACUCAUCCGGAAUUACUGCCCGAAUUGUCGGAUCCUCGUAUGAUGUCCAUUGAAACUAUAUGAACAUUAUAGAAAUAUUAGUAUAUAUAUAAUACUAAAUACUAAUUACUAAUUACCAAUCGACUAGCGAAUGAUGGAAAUAUCAAUUUUAUUUAAUACUUACAUGUGCUUCCGGCUGUUGGUCUAAUAGAAGCCGUAUAUCUUCAAGUUCGGUAGGUAAUCAAGCAUGACUUGCUGAAUGGUUCCACCUAAUUAAAUAAACUUUUAGCAUACUUUUAUUUUUAAAUAUCUAUAUAAUAAUUGUAAAAUCUAAUAUAAAAUUUACCUCAUUAUGAGUGGAAAUUUAUAUGGGUGGUCCACUCGAAGACGUAGAAAUGGACAGCGAAACCGUGCCUAUGACUGCAGUAGUGACAAGCAACCUCCGAUUUUUGCUCUCAUCGGUCGCAUCUCCCCACACAUCUCUCGAUAUAAUGUGGCCAAGACGGCAGACCCCCAACUCAAUUCACCAGCUGCUCUAAAAUCAACGAGUUUCAACAGCAAUCUUAGAUGUACGCAGCUCCGUGACAAGUCCGGCAUCAGAUAACCUCUAAUUAACUAAAAAAUGUAUGCCCGAGCAUAUCAGAUUCUUUCUAUAUCGGUUGAAUCUUAAUCCGGAUCCGAGAAUGUGUCUUGCAACCAGCCCAUCUCGAUCUUACCUCCGUCCAUUUUCUCCGGAAUAGCGCCCAGAAGCUCAUAGCACACCGCUGGCCAAUCGCUAGAUUGGGCAGACCCCGUGACUAGGUACCCGUCCACCGGCAAUCCCAAUUACAGGCUGACGUCUUCCAAAGUGACAGUGCACCCUCCACAUGAAAAAUGAAAUGUGUGCGUCUCGGGUCUCCACCUCUCGAUCAACGCACUGGUUAGUUUCGGGUCCACCUUGCAUCCCCAGCCUACUGUUGCCACGUGCUAAAAACCCGCUUCCCGCAGGUAGUUCUCUACCAACGGUGAUGGAGGAGCAUGCAUAUUCCGGAUAUUGCAUUCCAAUACCUGAUCUACAGACUUUUAUAACAAAUAAUAAAUUAAUAAUUAUCUAAAAAUACAUAAAUAAAAAAAUUUAAAUAAUAUUUAAAAAUUAAAUUUAACACUUACCAUCUUCAUUUGUUCCACGGAUAUGUAGUGCUUAUCAAGACGAGUCAAUCCUUCGUCCAUUACUGAAAUCGUACAAAUUUUUUUGGUUUAAAAAUUAAGGAUUUAAGAGUAAUUUUUUUCAGUUUAAGAAAAAUUAAAAUUAUUUAAAAAUAUAGGAAUUUAAGAGAAAUUUAAAAGGAAAUUGAGAGUUAAUUGAGAUUAAAUAUGAAUUUGAGAGAAAUCAGGAAGGAAAUUGAGAGGAAAUUGAGAGAAAAUUUGAGAGAAGAUUUGUUUAUGAAAAAAAAAAUGGGUGAGGGGUAUUUAUAAGUUUUUUUUUACCGUUGGAGGGGACAACGAUCAAAUUUUUGACUGUUACACUGUUCACGCGCGGUCUAAAUCGUGUCCCAAGGACGCGUCACGUCAUCAAAGCGCGGCCACGUCAGAACACUUUGCUGACGUGAUAGCAAAUCGCGCUCUCAAGGCCGCGCUUUGUUGCACGUCAUCAAAACGCUCUGACAUUACCGCGCUUUGCUGACACGACCGCGCUUUGCUGACACAUCCCCUAACAUCGCACUGACGUAGACGUAAUUUAGGGAAAAGAGACUCAUUCUGAUAAAUAAUAAAAUACCGAGCCCAUUUCAGUAAAUUUAAAAAAAAUUAGCUUUUUUUGAUAAAUAGACCUCGGUAAACAAUAAUAUCCAUCAAAAUUAUGGCAACAUCCGCUGCUGCAACAAGCUUUAAGAAGAACUCAGAAUUGACCGAGAUAGCUACUAUAAGGAUUAAAAUCCGGCUCAUAUAUUCUCAUUACCAUUCACGUGACUACAUAAAUUGUAAAGUCAUACUUGUGAAUAAAGAUUGAUCAAAGUAAUGGAAGAAAACCAGACCCAAAUAUAAAGUGCAUAGAAUCCAUGCUGUCCAACAAGAUGAUAAAUAUAUAUUUCAAAACAACCCUACGUACAGAAGAUCUCGUCUUUUCUCUCUCUCUCUCUCUCUUCUUUGGCCUAAGCCCUUGGAUAAGUAGAUUUACUUACAAUAUCAACAUUGAAAUCCCCUUCAAUGAGCAGUAUGGGGAAUAGUGUUGAGUGUCCGAUGAGCUUGGACCGCACAAGCACAAUGCACUGAUGUUAAGCUCAAGCAGCCACUCAUGACAAGGGUAUGCCUUCCGGAGCAAGUGUGAAGGGCUGGAAACGUAUCGCAUAAUGUCUGUACGGCUGAAGGAGUCAGUGCAGUACACUGGCUUAUAUUCAGACUUCUAAGACCUUCCUCAUCAUAUCUACCCUUCAUGGACUGCCACAACGAAGGCUUGUUAUUCACUCGGCUGUGAGCCAGCGAGUACAUCGCCCUGUCUGUGAUAUUGCGACAAUAGUACAGAUCAAGUGACCUUAAAUGGAGGCACUUAUCUGCCAACGCAAUCACACUAUCAUCUACAAUAAGAUUUUUAGAGCUUAUCAGUCUUCAUCGACAAAACAAGCCAUACUUUAGUUCCUAAAUCAACAAAUAAUGUUUCAAUCUGAUACUGCUGUGACGGGAAGACAGACAAAAUCACCUCUAGGAAAAGCGAAGGGCAAGACAAAUUCAACUCGAUAAAAAGUAUGAAUAAUUUUAAAAUUGAGUUUAUAUGCUAGCAUUGGGACAAGGUGCUGCAUAUUCACUAUAUUAGACUGCUGCUACCCUCGCCAACACAUAGAAGGCUAUUCCCUGAAGAAACAUGCAAGGUAAAGAUACAUAUCUAUAUAAUACAAAAUAGAUAUAAAUCUGGCUAGAGAAUCAGAAACCAAAGCAAUAUGUUGAAUUAUAAACACACACACAUAUACAUAUACAUAUACAUAUACAUAUACAUAUACAUAUACAUAUACAUAUACAUAUACAUAUACAUAUACAUAUACAUAUACAUAUACCAACUAAGCACCGAAUCCAAGGAAUACCUGUUAUGCGAACACAGCCGCACAAGUCCAGGCAUUUGAGAUCAGGGCAUCCGUAAGCUAGACUCAUCACUCCUAUAUCACCAACAUUAUCACACCAUCCCAGAUUUAAAGAUUGCAACAUUUUGCAGUUUCGUCCAAUAGCCUGUGCAUAUAAUCAAUUAAAGCAACUCGUUUUUAAUCAGCAAAAAUAACUAUUCAGAGUACUGUUCGUACCUGCAAUGCACGGUCAGUUGCAGCUUUAACACAUCCACAGAGAUUUAAUAUUUUUAGUUUUUGACAAAAGUUAGUCAAAUAUUCAAGAGCUCCAUCACUGAAAGAUGUGCAGCCACUGAUAUUAAGCUUCGUAAUGUUAGGACAACCACGGGCCAAUGCAUACAAAGAGUGAUCACUAAGCUUGAAACUUUUGCUUAGGUCCAGCUCCUGUAUAUCAUGACAAAAGUUUGCAAUAGCCUCAACAGCAUUGUCCUCGAGCUGCGGAUACUCUUGACGCAGUAUUAGAGUUUGCAAUCUGGUGAAUUUAGGAGCAAGAGAGAGAACCAAGUUGUUCAUAUUCUUUCUGCACCUGAUGCAAGAUUUCACACAAACCAAUUAUAUGACAAGUAGGAUAUUGAGGAAAAAAGGUACAAAGGACAAAUGAUCUGAUGUUUGCCCAAAUACGAGCAAAGAAUAAAUUAAAAGAUAAAAUAAGGAAAUGGAUCGCACGUCACUCAUUGCUAAAACAGUAUUAAUUGGGCAAAAAAAUUAAUAUUUAACAAGUUACAUACAGGAGAGAAAACAAGAAGUAAAUGCAUGACAAACACAAAAAAAUGCAAAUGCAGCUAAGAAGAAUAUGAAAAACUUUUGUGGCCAACAAGCUAGAAUUAAGAUAUCCGAAGAUCCUCCUUCUAAACCAAGCCUAACAGUAUUAAGAUUAUAUGUUUUUCAUGUUAUGUAAUAACUAUCAGGUGGAGCACGAAAACUGUCAUAACCAUGAUUAACGGUAAAUUAGGACAAUUGAUCAACCCAAGCUGGAGUUAGGUUUCUGCUCAUGGAUCACAUAAGUUUAUGCUAUCCAUUCAGAAACAGAGAUGUUAGGCAUUACAAGUUCGGAGUACUGAUAAAAUCAACCAGACACUAUCUUCAAUAUUAAUAAAAACAUGGGAUGACCAAUAUAUUAUUAAUAAUCUUAUAUCCCUAAUGAAGCUUCCUUAAAAUUAAAAAAAGCCAAGACAAAUAAAUAACUAAACUGCCAAAAGGUAAGAUACUUCACGCUAUGAAUGCUAAAAUUGACCAGGAUAUACCACUCGGGAGGUGCCAGCAAUCCAAAUCGUGCAAGUUUGCUGGCUUAUCAUAAUUCAAACACAAAGUGAGCAGUGCAAAUAGAAAAGGCAUGAAUCAGAAGCAAACUGAAAAUGGAAAUUUAUGAGAUUAACUAAACAAAUUCUUGAGGAGGAAGACUGAAAAGCCUUAAAGGCACUUAAAAAUAGAGACUGAUGCAACAGUUGGUUCAUUUUGAUAACUAGCACUGUGAAUCAAUCCAGUAUAUUGAGUACUUUGGGAGAAUGGUUUAGGCUCUUGUUGCCUAUCAGUCUGAGAAACUAGCAAUAAGAAAAUUCACAAUUCCUCAAGUUGGGGUUGAUGUAUAUGAACAGUAUCUAGAAUUGAUAUUAUGCAAAGAGAGCAACAAUAUUGUCACCAUGGACAUAGCAUUAAGAAAAAGGUCUGGAUUAAAGCCUUGCUAUCUGAUGAGUAUAGGCUGAAAUUUGAUCAAAACUACUAAAAGGUUUUUACCUUAGAGCUAGAAAUAAACAAUCAUGGAACAGAAAAUCAGCUUUAUGUUAAUUCAAAGAUCUAGUUUUCACAAACAACAAAAACCUAUUUAUUAUCUAAGUCUUACCCCCAAAACUGUUUUACAGGAAAAAUAAUGUGUUUGCUUGUGCCAGUACUCGUCAGUUACAUCAAAAGGAGAUACUAUUACUUAGUAGUUCUAAUCUUAUAACUAUUUGAGAUAUAAUAGCUAACCUGCACAAAAAGCAUAACAUAAACAUCAAACAAUGGUUGAAAUGGGGAAAAAAAGGAAAAAUAAAAGCACAACUGCACAAGUGUUGGUACGUUUAUAUAAGAGUAAACAGUGAAAAGAGCACAUACCAUGAGAGACUGAGUUGUGUGAGGCCGAAGCAAAUAGCAUCCCUCCACCCACAACAAACACCGGAAGCAACAAUAGCAGUCCGAUCAUCGACAAGAGGCACAAUUCUCAACAGCAGCUCCAUAGGAAUAUCUUUCCACUCAGUGAUCACCGCUCCCUCCAUCCUAACUCCCACGCCACUAUUUCCAGCAGCAACCAUCAGCAGCUUCUCAAAGCACGAGUUCAACUCUUCACUUCUCACCUUUGCUUUGCUUAUCAUUUAGCUCUUUUCUCUACCACCAUCUUACACAAACUUAUAUUUUUAUGUUAUGGAGUAGAUAAUUAUUCCUUUAUGCCUAUAACCAAAAAACAGACCUUAAAUUCAGUGACCAAAGCCUAAUAAAACGACAAGUGUAUAGAAAGGCAACAAACUCUAUGUGCCAAAACCUUAGAAAAACUGCAGAAAACAGAGGACCAUAAAAACAAUCAAAUUCCUAAAAAAAAAAAUUCUUUUUGGAUAUUCUAAGUACCUUGGACCAAACUAAAAAAUUUACCUUCCUUUUAGCUUUAACUCGUCAAGGGACAUACCAAAACAGGUAGUUCAUAAGAAAAACAAAAGCAAACCUUUUUGGGGUAUAAGAAAGACCCAUUUCAACAAACUGGAUAUUAGAGUGAUAGCCAUAAAAAGAAGUACAGAAAUGAUCGGCGAAAACGAAAAAGGAAACUAAAACCAUGACUUUUAUUUGACUAAAUAUUUGUAGCUAAAAGUAACAACUUUAUAUAAGUUCAGAAAUUUGUGGUUUUUCAACUAAAAGAUUUAAAAAUGAAUCAGCUUGAAAACAUGCAGCUCAAAUUUAAGCAACAAAAAGAAAUGGAUGAAACAAAAAUUAAAACGACAGAUAACUCCCAACAGAAAACAAAAGAAGGGAUGAAAAUUAUGGAAAGCUCAGAUUAUAAUCAUACCUUUCUCUGGGUUUUCUUCGUUUUCUUUGCUUUGUUCUAUUAAAAAUUCGUUUGGGUGUUUUUCUGUGUUCUUAGAAAGAAAAACAGAGAAGCAAGUAAAGACAAAAGGGGGGGGUUAUUAAGACAUAAAAGAGAGAUUAAAAAAAAAAGAGAGACGUACGGGAAGAGAAUUAGGGGAUACGUGUCAGAAAUCCAUCCGUGACAACGUAAUAGGACCAAUAGAUUUUCAUGAUUAAGGAAUCAUAACAAAAGCUCUCCUUUUUCUUUUUCUGGGGAAAAAGAGAGAAAAGAAAUCAGAUUAUUUUUGUUUCCAAAAAAAAUGGAUAAAUAAAAAAGAGGGAUUGAGGUGAAUGUAGAAAGUUCGGUGUGUUUUGUUUAAAACAGAAGCCGCACUGGAAAGCAAUAUAAAAGAAUAAAGAUGCCACUUUCUUAAAAUUCGGGUGGAUGUCGCAUUAAAUCAAGGCGGGAAAUAAAAAGAAAUCAAAGCUCAUUAUAGAAUUAAAUAAACAUUUUUGGUAGUUUAGAUUUGUUUGGCUGGUGAGUAUUACUUGCCCAAAAUUAUUAACCUUAAAAAUCUUUUGUAUUAUUAUUAAUCAGUCAGAUUAACCGGGGAGGAAGAUGGUGGUUUGUUUGGAAGAUGAACAUAGUAGUGCAUGAGGGGACCGUAUAAUUUUUUUAUAUCUUCAUAUCAAUUUUAUAUUUUUUAAUUUUUUUAUUUUUAUGAAAAUAAUAUUAGAUUAAACUAAAAGAUAUCACGUGUCACAAUCUUAUUAGUCCGUCAAUUUAUUUUAACGAUCAACAUGAUCAACAAAGAAAAUCGUUAACAGAAGAGCUUAAUUAAUUAUUUUAGUUAAUGAUAAAGGCUUAAUGGAGUGCAAUUUUAAUACAAGGGUUUUAUUGAUUUUUUUUAUUUUUUAAAAUUUUUUAAUAUAAAAUCCUCAUGGUUCAAUCACUAGACAUUUGAGUUUUUUAAGUGAUAAUUUUUUAUUAUUUUGUUUAAGGUUUAAACUUUGAUACUUGAGUUUUUUUUCUCUAACAUAGUAUAUGUGUUUUUUUAACAUUGAUAAAAGUUAUAUAUUUUAAUAUGUUAAUUUUUUAGUGCUCAGUUUAAAUUUUAGAAUUAAUUUAUUAAAAACCCAUAAUUUUAAAAAUAUUAUUAUUGACAAUUAAUUUUUAUUAAAUCAACCCUAAACUUGAAAUUUUGUUAUUUUUUCAGGUUUUAAAGUUUAUGAUAUAAAAUUAAUUAUUAAUAUUAUUAAUUAAGUAUGAUUUUCCAUUAAAUAACCCUACCGCCAAAAUUAAACAAUAAAGUAUUAAUGUCAUUACAUUUAGAUAUCAAAAUAAAGGGUGAAGCAGGAUCUAAUAAAAGCCCCUGAAUCCUCUUUGGUCAACUGGAAUGCAGAUUAGUGAAUUUGGAUGCAACUGUAUCCUCAUCUUUUAUUUAUUACUAAUAAAACAUAUUAAAAAGAGACCAACGUAAGAAGAAGAAAAUAUGAAUACUAGCUUAACUUAAUUAUAAGAAAAUAAUUUCUAAUUUUACAUGACCAGGAAUGGAUUCAGGGGAGGCGGGGUCGUUGUUCCCUUUAAAUUUUCACUUUUUUUUAGUUUUAUAUAUAAAUUAUUAUGUAUUUUAGAUUUGGUGUCCACAUUGUAUAACUUUCGCCCCUCUACUCAAAUUGUAUUUCAUAUAAUUUGCUUCCUCUUCAACUGUAUUUCAUUUAAGUCAAGUAUUUAUCAUCUUAUUGAUAGAAUUAUUCUUUUUGUGCUAACUCUUCUUGUGUCUAUAGUAACAACUAAACAAGAAUUUUUAGCCAUGAAAAUUGUGAAGACAAUAUCUUACAGUAGAAUAGAUGAUAAUUUUCUUUCAACUUACUUGGUGGCAUAUAUAAAAAAAAAAGAUAACUUGAGAAUUUUUAACAAAUUCUAUUAUUGAUGAGUUCAAUCUUAUGAAAAAAUAAAUUGUGCAAUUUAGGAUGACUAGUAUUGAAAAAUAAAACUAAAGCCAAGUGUUUUUAAUUUAAUUUUUGAAAUUAUAAUAUUUAUGAUAUUUAUGAUAGUUUUUUUUUUGGCAUAUUAAAAAUAAAUAUUUAAUUUUAUAUGGUGUUUUAAAGUUAAAACGUUAAUUUCUUUUAAAAAUUAUUAAAUUAAUUUAUUUGAUAAAAAUAUCUGAAAAAAAUUAAUAUAUUUUUAUGUUAAAAAAUCGUUCAUUGAUACGUACCUGCGUUAAAUGAGAUAUAGAUGUGGAGAAAAGUAAAUGCAUUCUGGAACUUUCUUUUCUAUCACUUUCUCAGUUUUAUUUGUUUGUAUAUCGUAUAAAUGCCAUUGCCAUGUAAUCUUCCACCAAAAUAAUAAAAAGUUCGUAUUUUGUUUUCUCUAAAGCUGAUCAACUAUUUUUAUUUACCUCUGCCUCCCCUACCAUCACUGCUUUUGUCCCUUGAAUUGGACGCUAAAACUUGUCUAGGUUCAUUAUCCUGGUCGAUAGAGUGGCUUUUAGAGAGAUAGAGGAACUUGAUUGUGCACUUUCACAUCACGAGAUUCCCAUUCUAGUUUUUCAAGUAAGGGUUUUUGAAAGACGUGACGGCAUUGUCAACUUUUAACCUGCGAUUGGAAGAUGUAGUAGAGGAUUUGAUAAUGAGAUUUUAUGUCAAGAUGAGACGUUGGAUAUCCAUUUCGUAAAACAUUGGGUCUUUUAUUUGGUGUCAAUAGAGGAGUCCCCAUGCUGUGAAAUAUAAUCAAACAUGUAAAGAAAUUACAGAGAAUUAUUUGAUGCGGGUCGGGUGAUACAAAGCUUUUUUUUUUUUUUUGUAAAUUAGACUAAUAUUAUUAACACACGGCUCAAGACAAAACAGCAGCUGAAAAGCCAGCAAACACAAUAGAAAAGGAAAACAGCUGGCAAGCAAACAGAACAAUCAAAGCCUAGAAGACAGAACAAUCAAAGCCUAGAAACUACCAAUUCCAAAAGAGCAGAAAAAGAAACUCUUGAGCCAACAACCAGCUUUGCUUCAAUAAACCCAAUAUCAGCCAAUACUUUCCUCACCGUCUGAAACCUGAAACGAGUAUAAUGAGAGAACAAAUACUUUGAACGAACCUCCACCAUUUUCAAAGCAAAAAUGAAAUGACCUUAGAUCCGCUGGUUCCAAACCAAACGGUCAUUCAAUGCCGCCAUCCUCACAGAUUCAGGCACUCCAUUAACUCAACUCCCGCAAAUCUUUCUUCUUCGGCCUUCCAGCACCAGGUUGUGAGACGCUUCAUUAACCAAUNNNNNNN
rnacentral:lncRNA from 1 species